GGAAAAUGCCGCAGCCCCUUCCGCCCGCCGAGCCGCCUCCGCAGCGUCGCCCUCUCUCUCGGCGCAGAGACCCGGGCCACGUUGCUCUGCAGAGCUGUGGUGUCCUGCUGAUGUUCUUCAAGGAUGUCACAUCAGUCGUGCUCAGGAGAGCGUUGGCCUCGUGCACGGAACGGUCACCUUCUGUCAACCGCUUUUCUUGUUCUUCCAGGUGUCGCCUUCUUGACAUGGCCUCUCUCUGUUUUUGCCUGGAAGUUUUGUGUGCGUGUUCCCAUGGGGGUUAACAGAGACUCGGUCAACGUCAUCUGCCACCUGACUUGUUGGCGGAAACUGCAAUUUAUCAUUCUGCCGGGGCUGCCGGCGCCUCUCCGGGCAUGAUGUCGCCUUUCGCAAGUGCGUUUCCUUGAGUCUUGCCACAGAGCACUUGGAGGGCUCUCUGAAGAUGGCUCACAGCAUUCGAUCAAGUCAUUAAAGCCGGGUUGCCACUUU